ACUCCAGGGCUGAUGUCAUGGCGCGAAGCCCGGCGGCGCUGCCCUCCCAGGCCCCGGGACAGCCCGGCCGGCAGGGGGCGGGUUCAGGAGUCACCGACUGCCGGCGCGCCCCGUGCUCGCGCUGCGGUCCCACUGUGUGCCCUGUCGCCGCCACCGCGGAAAACGUCUUGCACAUGUGAGGGACAUUUCAGGGUUUUCCUGUCAGUCGGGCUGGAGUGCAGUGGCAUGUUCUCGGCUCACUGCAGCCUCUGCCUCCCGGGUUAAAGUGAUUCUCCUGCCUCAGCCUCCCAAGGACCUGGGAUUUCUGGAUUCACCCGGUACGCGGGCUCUCCUGGAGUGGAGCUUUGGCUGGCCACGGCCUGGAGCAGCGUUUGUGCAGCACUCCCACAGCCGCCUGCCUGGGCCCGCCCUGGACACAUGCUCAGUGGAAUUCUCCUAUAGCAGCCCAGGGUCUCUGGAACGAAGGUCUCCCAGGCCGAAGCCACGCAAGAGGCGCUCCUGCUCUGGUUUUCAGAUGCACCCUCAUCCUUGACCUCUCCCAGCCCCAGUUCUCUUUGACUUCUCCGGUCCU